rnacentral:rRNA from 1 species
GAACACAAAUUUAACAUUGCAAUGAAUGACCUUAGAGCUGAAUGUCAGGAAGCUUGGGAGUGGCUUUGUCAAAUACCCAAGAAAACAUGGGCAAGGCAUGCAUUUGACACAAACUGCAAGACUGGCCUUGUAGUUAACAAUUUGUCUGAAGUGUUCAACAAGUAUGUCCUAGAUGUUAGGAAGAAACCAAUUAGGACAAUGUGUGAUGGAAUAAAGGAUAAACAGAUGAUGAGGUGGCAUAGGAAUAGGGAGAGUGCAAAGACAGCUAGAUGGGACAUAACACCCCAUUAUAGUGAGAAGCUAGAGGUUGAGAAGGAGAGGGCCAAAUAUUGCAAACCAAUUCAAGCUGGUGUGAACUUGUGGCAGGUUACAAGUGGGCAGCAAACCCAUGCUGUUGACUUGCAAGUGCACACAUGUGGGUGCAGAAAAUGGGACCUCAGUGGCAUCCCAUGUAACCAUGCCAUCUCAGCAAUCAACAAGGGCAAAAGAAAACCAGAGGAUUAUGUCAGCAAGUUCUUCAAGAAAGAAUUUUAUGUGGCAGCUUAUGAACCAAUGAUCUAUCCAGUUCCUGGUGAGCAUGACUGGACAAAGACCCCUGGUCCAGACAUUGACCCACCUGCAUUUAAAGUGAAGAGAGGAAGAAAGAAAGAGAAGAGGAUCAAGGGGAAAUUUGAAGUUCCAAAGCCUAAGGACACAUCAAGA